rnacentral:rRNA from 1 species
GGAAUUCGAUUAGGCAGCAGUGAGGAAUAUUGGACAAUGGGUGAGAGCCUGAUCCAGCCAUCCCGCGUGAAGGACGACGGCCCUAUGGGUUGUAAACUUCUUUUGUAUAGGGAUAAACCUAGAUACGUGUAUCUAGCUGAAGGUACUAUACGAAUAAGCACCGGCUAACUCCGUGCCAGCAGCCGCGGUAAUACA